rnacentral:piRNA from 1 species
UGCCUGCCAUUUCUAAAGCACCCAGUAUGGA